rnacentral:tRNA from 1 species
GUCGGGCUCAUAACCCGAAGGUUGCAGGUUCAAGUCCUGCCCCCGCUA